AUGGAUUCCAAGACCGUGUCUUCUCCACAAUCCCUGAACACCCUGACUCUAACCAUCGAAUGGAGCUUGGUCUUUCCCUUUCUCCUAUCCAUAACUGCUGGUGUUCACUCUGAGGUAAAGCUGCAGCAGUCUGGAGAUGAGCUGGAAAGAACUGGGGAUUCAGUGAAGAUGUCCUACAAGGCUUCUGGGUACACUUUCACUGACUAUGCUAUGCACUGGGUAAAGCAGAAGCCUGGACAGGACCUGGAAUGGAUUGGAGCUAUUAUUCCUCUAAUUGAUAUUAUUGACUAUAAUCAGAAGUUUAAGGGCAAGGCGACAGUGACUGCAGACAAAUCCUCCAACACGGCCUACAUGGAACUCAGCAGAUUGACAUCUGAGGACUCUGCGGCCUAUUACUGUUCAAGACACAGUGUUCUAACCACAUCCUGUCAAAAACUGAAGGAGCAGCAACCUUCCAUGGGACUGAGAUGA